rnacentral:rRNA from 1 species
AGGUAGGGGUCCUGAGAGGGAGAUCCCCCACACUGGUACUGAGACACGGACCAGACUCCUACGGGAGGCAGCAGUGAGGAAUAUUGGACAAUGGAGGCAAGUGUGAUCCAGCCAUGCCGCGUGCAGGAAGACNGGCCUGCGGGUUGUAAACUGCUUUUAUACAGGAAGAAACGCCGCUACGUGUAGCGGUUUGACGGUACUGUAGAAUAA